UAGGGAAUUUUCGGCAAUGGGGGAAACCCUGACCGAGCAAUGCCGCGUGAGUGAAGAAGGCCUUCGGGUUGUAAAGCUCUGUUGUAAGGGAAGAACGCUGGAGAUAGGGAAUGAUCUUCAGGUGACGGUACCUUACCAGAAAGCCACGGCUAACUACGUGCCAGCAGCCGCGGUAAUACGUAGGUGGCAAGCGUUAUCCGGAAUUAUUGGGCGUAAAGGGUGCGCAGGCGGCCCGAUAAGUCCAAGGUUAAAGCCCGUAGCUCAACUACGGUACGCCUUGGAAACUGUCGGGCUAGAGUGCAGGAGAGGACAAUGGAAUUCCAUGUGUAGCGGUAAAAUGCGUAGAUAUAUGGAGGAACACCAGUGGCGAAGGCGGUUGUCUGGCCUGUAACUGACGCUCAAGCACGAAAGCGUGGGGAGCAAAUA
rnacentral:rRNA from 1 species